rnacentral:rRNA from 1 species
CCUACGGGAGGCAGCAGUGGGGAAUAUUGCACAAUGGGGGAAACCCUGAUGCAGCGACGCCGCGUGAGCGAAGAAGUAUUUCGGUAUGUAAAGCUCUAUCAGCAGGGAAGAAAAUGACGGUACCUGAGUAAGAAGCUCCGGCUAAAUACGUGCCAGCAGCCGCGGUAAUACGUAUGGGGCAAGCGUUAUCCGGAUUUACUGGGUGUAAAGGGAGCGUAGGCGGCCUUGCAAGUCUGAUGUGAAAUCCCGGGGCUCAACCCCGGGGCUGCAUUGGAAACUGUGUGGCUGGAGUGUAGGAGGGGCAGGCGGAAUUCCUGGUGUAGCGGUGAAAUGCGUAGAUAUUAGGAGGAACACCAGUGGCGAAGGCGGCCUGCUGGAC